UGGGGAAUAUUGGACAAUGGGGGCAACCCUGAUCCAGCCAUGCCGCGUGAGUGAUGACGGCCUUAGGGUUGUAAAGCUCUUUUCUCCGGGACGAUAAUGACGGUACCGGAGGAAUAAGCCCCGGCUAACUUCGUGCCAGCAGCCGCGGUAAUACGAAGGGGGCUAGCGUUGCUCGGAAUCACUGGGCGUAAAGGGCGCGUAGGCGGCUGAUUUAGUCGGGGGUGAAAGCCCGUGGCUCAACCACGGAAUGGCCUUCGAUACUGGUUGGCUUGAGACCGGAAGAGGACAGCGGAACUGCGAGUGUAGAGGUGAAAUUCGUAGAUAUUCGCAAGAACACCAGUGGCGAAGGCGGCUGUCUGGUCCGGUUCUGACGCUGAGGCACGAAAGCGUGGGGAGCAAACA
rnacentral:rRNA from 1 species